GGCCUCGUGGUGAACUGGCUAUCAUGGCUGCCUGUCGAGCAGCAGUAGAGGGAUCGAACCCCUCCGGGGCCGCCA
rnacentral:tRNA from 1 species